CAAUAGCGUAUAUUAAAGUUGUUGCAGUUAAAAGCUCGUAGUUGGAUUUCUGGCAGGAGCGACCGGUCACACACUCUGUGUGUGAACUUGUGUUGUCUCUGGCCAUCCUUGGGGAGAUCCUGUUUGGUCAUUAAGUUGUCGGGCAGGGGACGAUCCAUCGUUUACUUGUGAAAAAUUAAGAGUGUUUAAAGCAGGCUUAUGCCGUUGAAUAUAUUAGCAUGGAAUAAUAAGAUAGGACUUCGGAACUAUUUUGUUGGUUUGCGUUACGAAGUAAUGAUUAAUAGGGACAGUUGGGGGUAUUCGUAUUUCGUUUGUCAGAGGUGAAAUUACUUGGAUUCCGUAAAGACGAACUACUGCGAAAGACAUUUACCUAAGGAUGUUUUCUAUUAAU
rnacentral:rRNA from 1 species